rnacentral:rRNA from 1 species
AUUGAACGCUGGCGGCAGGCCUAACACAUGCAAGUCGAGCGGAUGAAGGGAGCUUGCUCCUGGAUUCAGCGGCGGACGGGUGAGUAAUGCCUAGGAAUCUGCCUGGUAGUGGGGGAUAACGUCCGGAAACGGGCGCUAAUACCGCAUACGUCCUGAGGGAGAAAGUGGGGGAUCUUCGGACCUCACGCUAUCAGAUGAGCCUAGGUCGGAUUAGCUAGUUGGUGGGGUAAAGGCCUACCAAGGCGACGAUCCGUAACUGGUCUGAGAGGAUGAUCAGUCACACUGGAACUGAGACACGGUCCAGACUCCUAAGGGAGGCAGCAGUGGGGAAUAUUGGACAAUGGGCGAAAGCCUGAUGCAGCCAUGCCGCGUGUGUGAAGAAGGUCUUCGGAUUGUAAAGCACUUUAAGUUGGGAGGAAGGGCAGUAAGUUAAUACCUUGCUGUUUUGACGUUACCAACAGAAUAAGCACCGGUUAACUUCGUG